UUUUUAUUGCUUUAGUUUCGAUUGCGCUUAACAAAUUUAUUCAAUACAUUACUAUAUUAAACCUUGAAAAAGUGACUAAUAAAUUUACUUUUUUUUUUUACCGGCACGUUUAUAUUCACAAUACAUUUUAUAGACAACAAAUUCAAAAAAUUUUGAUUUACACAUUAGUUGUAAAAAUAUAGUUAAGUAUAGAGAUUGAGAGUAUAAUUAAAUCAAUAACAGUACAAUACAUUAAUUGUUGAAAAAUAAUUAGUUCUAGAUCAUGUCAAAACCAACUCUAUUGUG
rnacentral:lncRNA from 1 species